GCCGGCUCGGUCGCCUGAUUUGUAAUCAGUAGGUCCCGGGUUCGACUCCUGGUGCCGGCA
rnacentral:tRNA from 1 species